UUUUUAGUAGAGACAAGGUUUCACCAUGUUGGGCAGGAUGGUCUCGAUUUCCUGACCUCGUGAUCCGUCCGCCUCGGCCUCCCAAAGUGCUGAGAUUACAGGCGUGAGCCACUGCACCCGGCCCCUCUGAUUUUUAAAUGUGUAACUAAAUUAAAAAAUUUUUAAGCCCAGCCAGGUUGGUCUCGAACUCCUGACCUCAAGUGAUCCACCCGCCAUGACCUCCCAAAGUGGUGGGAUUAGAGGCAUUAGCCACCAAGCCCAGCCAAAAAAAAAAAAAACUAUUUUUAAACCCUGUGUAAGUCAGACCUGUCUGCAAGCCAGAUUUGGGCCAAGGACCCUUAGCGGAUUAGAUCAGAAUCUCAUGUUCUGAUAGUUCUUACUUUGUACCUCCACAAAGGUGAACCCCUGAGAGAGAAAAGGUUGCUUCCUAUCAGCAGAAUUUAGACCCCUACAUUAAAGUUUUGCCUCCCCCAUUCUUUGGUUGUGGUUAUGUUAAGGAGAUACUGGUACUAAGAAAAACUACUAAAACUACACGUACACAUGGUCCCCAACUUCCUAUGGUUCAGCUUUAUGAUUUUUUUCAACUUUACGAUGGUGUGAAAGCAAUAGAUGUUGAGUAGAAACUGUACUUCUCUUGCACUGCUAGGCAGCAAUUGGUAAUAAGUUUAUCUAGAUGUAACCCCAUUGUAAGUCAAGGAACAUCUGUAGAGUGAGAGAAAGCAUGGAAAUCUUCUGCUGACUUGCA
ensembl:lncRNA ZNF346-IT1 ZNF346 intronic transcript 1